CUACGGGACGCAGCAGCUAAGAAUCUUCCGCAAUGGACGAAAGUCUGACGGAGCGAUGCCGCGUGGAUGAAGAAUGCAGAGAUGUUGUAAAAUCCUUUUAUGAGUGAGGAAUAAUAGUACUAGGAAAUGAGUAUUAGAUGACGUUAGCUCAUGAAUAAGCUCCGGCCAAUUACGUGCCAGCAGCCGCGGUAACACGUAAGGAGCGAGCGUUGUUCGGAAUUAUUGGGCGUAAAGGGCGUGUAGGCGGUUAACUAAGUCUUGUUUGAAAGACCGAUGCUCAACAUCGGAAACGGGCAGGAAACUGGUUGACUAGAAUCCGGUAGGGAAAUGUGGAAUUCUAGUGUAGGGGUGAAAUCUGUUGAUAUUAGAAAGAACACCAAUGGCGAAGGCAACAUUUUGGGCCUGGAUUGACGCUGAGGCGCGAAAGCAUAGGGAGCAAACAGGAUUAGAUACCCGCGUAGUC
rnacentral:rRNA from 1 species